CCUACGGGAGGCAGCAGUGAGGAAUAUUGGUAAAUGGCCGGAAGGCUGAACCAGCCAAGCCGCGUGAAGGACGAAGGUGCCAAGCAUUGUAAACUUCUUUUGUAAAGGGACAAAAUCAGGCACGAGAGCCUGACCGAGGGUACUUGAAGAAAAAGCAUCGGCUAACUCCGUGCCAGCAGCCGCGGUAAUACGGAGGAUGCGAGCGUUAUCCGGAUUUAUUGGGUUUAAAGGGUGCGUAGACGGGCUGUUAAGUCAGCGGUGAAAGGCCGGGGCUCAACCCCAGACUGGCCUUUGAAACUGGCUGUCUUGAGAUCUGUAGAGGUAGGCGGAAUGCGCGGUGUAGCGGUGAAAUGCUUAGAUAUCGCGCAGAACUCCGAUUGCGAAGGCAGCUUACUGGCCGGGCACUGACGUUGAUGCUCGAAAGUGUGGGUAUCGAACAGGAUUAGAUACCCGAGUAGUC
rnacentral:rRNA from 1 species